rnacentral:rRNA from 1 species
UACGUAGGGGGCCAGCGUUGUUCGGAAUUACUGGGCGUAAAGGGUUCGUAGGCGGUUUUGCAAGUUGGGAGUGUAAUCUCUGGGCUCAACCCAGAGGCUGCUUCCAAAACUGCCAUGCUUGAGUGUGGGAGAGGCGCGUGGAAUUGCAGGUGUAGCGGUGAAAUGCGUAGAUAUCUGCAGGAACACCCGUGGCGAAAGCGGCGAGCUGGACCACAACUGACGCUGAGGAACGAAAGCUAGGGGAGCAAACAGG